CCCUUAGAUGUCCUGGGCCGCACGCGCGCUACACUGAUGCAUGCAACGAGUUUAUAACCUUGGCCUGAAAGGUCUGGGUAAUCUUUUGAACGUGCAUCGUGAUAGGGAUAGAUUAUUGCAAUUGUUAAUCUUGAACGAGGAAUUCCUAGUAAACGCGAGUCAUCAGCUCGCAUUGAUUACGUCCCUGCCCUUUGUACACACCGCCCGUCGCUACUACUGAUUGGAUGUUUAAGCGAGGUUCUCGAACUGCUAGCGACUUAGCUUCGGUGAGGUCGCAGUGUGGGAAGUGAACCUAGCUUUGGUGUCUAGAGGAAGUAAAAGUCGUAACA
rnacentral:rRNA from 1 species